UACUACAAGGAGCAGAAGUGAAAAUGGAACUUGAUAUGAUUGAUAAAACAUCAGAGGAUCUUGUCUAUAGGGAAGUCAAGGAGGAGAAAGAUCCUUUUUUCUCCCUUUCUUUUAUUCCUCAAAUCUAGAAUUCAGAGCCAUAUUUGAAAAUGAAAGCAGAGGUGACAGUGUACAUAUAAUGGCUACAUAGAAAAUAUACUUAAGCU